GACGAACGCUGGCGGCGUGCUUAACACAUGCAAGUCGAACGGAAAGGCCCUGCUUUUGUGGGGUGCUCGAGUGGCGAACGGGUGAGUAACACGUGAGUAACCUGCCCUUGACUUUGGGAUAACUUCGGGAAACUGGGGCUAAUACCGGAUAGGAGCUCCUGCUGCAUGGUGGGGGUUGGAAAGUUUCGGCGGUUGGGGAUGGACUCGCGGCUUAUCAGCUUGUUGGUGGGGUAGUGGCUUACCAAGGCUUUGACGGGUAGCCGGCCUGAGAGGGUGACCGGCCCCAUUGGGACUGAGAUACGGCCCAGACUCCUACGGGAGGCAGCAGUGGGGUAUAUUGCACAAUGGGCGGAAGCCUGAUGCAGCAACGCCGCGUGCGGGAUGACGGCCUUCGGGUUGUAAUCCGCUUUCGCCUGUGACGAAGCGUGAGUGACGGUAAUGGGUAAAGAAGCACCGGCUAACUACGUG
rnacentral:rRNA from 1 species